rfam:Triticum aestivum genome assembly, contig: Triticum_aestivum_CS42_TGACv1_scaffold_236434_3B
GGAGAGAUGGCCGAGCGGUUCAAGGCGUNAAGGCGUAGCAUUGGAACUGCUAUGUAGACUUUUGUUUACCGAGGGUUCGAAUCCCUCUCUUUCCG